rnacentral:rRNA from 1 species
CCAUGCAAGUCGCACGAGAAAGGGAGCAAUCCCAAGUAAAGUGGCGCACGGGUGAGUAACACGUGGAUCAUCCACCUUCUUGUGGGGAAUAACCUGGGGAAACCCGAGCUAAUACCGCAUAAGCCCGAGAGGGGAAAGCAGCAAUGCGCAGGAAGAGGAGUCCGCGGUCGAUUAGCUAGUUGGUAGGGUAAAAGCCUACCAAGGCUAUGAUCGAUAGCCGGCCUGAGAGGGCACACGGCCACACUGGCACUGAAACACGGGCCAGACUCCUACGGGAGGCAGCAGUGGGGAAUCUUGCACAAUGGGGGAAACCCUGAUGCAGCGACGCCGCGUGGGUGAUGAAGUCCUUCGGGAUGUAAAGCCCUUUCGACGGGAACGAUAAUGACGGUACCCGGAGAAGAAGCUGCGGCUAACUACGUGCCAGCAGCCGCGGUAAUACGUAGGCAGCAAGCGUUGUUCGGAGUUACUGGGCGUAAAGAGUAUGUAGGCGGUUGGGUAAGUUUGGUGUGAAAUCCCCCGGCUUAACUGGGAGGGUGCGCUAAAGACUGCCUGGCUCGAGUGUGGGAGAGGAAAGCGGAAUUCCUGGUGUAGCGGUGAAAUGCGUAGAUAUCAGGAGGAACACCUGCGGUGUAGACGGCUUUCUGGACCAUAACUGACGCUGAGAUACGAAAGCGUGGGUAGCAAACAGGAUUAGAUACCCUGGUAGUCCACGCCCUAAACGAUGCAUACUUGGUGUUGGCCAUUCACUUGGUCAGUGCCGGAGCUAACGCGUUAAGUAU